AAGCGGCCGGGCUAACGGGAGC
rnacentral:misc_RNA from 1 species